GAUGAACGCUGGCGGCGUGCCUAAUACAUGCAAGUCGAGCGAACAGAUGAGGAGCUUGCUCCUCUGACGUUAGCGGCGGACGGGUGAGUAACACGUGGAUAACCUACCUAUAAGACUGGGAUAACUUCGGGAAACCGGAGCUAAUACCGGAUAAUAUAUUGAACCGCAUGGUUCAAUAGUGAAAGACGGUUUUGCUGUCACUUAUAGAUGGAUCCGCGCCGCAUUAGCUAGUUGGUAAGGUAACGGCUUACCAAGGCAACGAUGCGUAGCCGACCUGAGAGGGUGAUCCGCCACACUGGAACUGGAACACGGUCCAGACUCCUACGGGAGGCAGCAGUAGGGAAUCUUCCGCAAUGGGCGAAAGCCUGACGGAGCAACGCCGCGUGAGUGAUGAAGGUCUUCGGAUCGUAAAACUCUGUUAUUAGGGAAGAACAAAUGUGUAAGUAACUAUGCACGUCUUGACGGUACCUAAUCAGAAAGCCACGGCUAACUACGUG
rnacentral:rRNA from 1 species